CGAAUGGGAGAGUAGCAGGGAGCAGCCACCGGUGGGGUCCCGGCGUUCUUUCAGCGAAUUAAGGGGGUUUAACGUGCCCGUGGUGCUCUGCGAGCCCGCCGGGUAGCUACUGCCACAGGCCGAUAUGCACCGUGUGCAGCACCUCGCUGAUGCCCCGGGUGGAGCGGGGACUCCCAUGUGUUUUACCACAUCUCUGUAUAAAUAUCUGAAGGCAAAAAGUCCCCCUGAUAGUACUCCAAGAAGGCCUGUUUUAUCUGUCAGUGCAAGAAAAAUUAAAGAUAAUGCAGCAGACUGGCAUAAUUUAAUGAUGAAAUGGGAAAGACUAAAUGAUAAUGGAUUUACUACAGCAAACAAAAUAGUCAACAUGAGGAUCAGUGAGCAGUUUCAAGACAACAAACUGGAGAUAACAUGUGAUAACAAUGCCACAGAACCUGAAAAGCCAACCCCAAAAUACAAUGAAGAGCUGGACAAGUGCUGUGCAGAAUUACUUGAGACUUUAAAGCAUAUGACAAAAAUACAACUGAAAAUGGAAAAGCUUACUUCAACUACUAAAGCAAUCUGUGACUUGGAAACAUUCCACCACGGAGCUGGGAAUUGCAUGGCACCCUUCUUUCAUACAUGGCCCACACCGCACUUCUAUGAGGUUUCUCUGAAGCUGUCUGAAAUGUACAAGAAGGAGCUACAACUCAAGCAAACAAUUGUACAAGACAUAGCUCAUUCUGCUGACCAGGAUCUGAUGAUGGUGUAUUUAUCCUCGUGGUUGUACCAGCCUUACAUUGAGAACAGCAGCAUGCUGCUGCUUGAAGCCAUGCUGCUGGAAACAGGACACAGGCAGUGCUAGAAUUCCAAAGGUUACAUGGCUGGCUUCUAGUGGUGCUUACAUGAAACUGAAUUGGCAUAUUGCAAGGCUUACCAAUUGGCUUUGUAUGUGGAGGAAAGGAAAGCACAAAAAGAAGAAUCCAAAAGGAUCCACAUAGUAUCACAUGGUAUGUGAUUUUGAAAUGCUGUUGUUGCACACAAUAGUGCAAAUUCUGGCUUGGUUUUGAUUCUGGUGUUGUUGGGUACAUCAAAACACUCAAAAGAGUGAUCCAAGCCUGAGCCAGCAACUGGGGAAGGUUUAGAACAAGUCAGCAUUAUACAGAAAUUAUAUAAUAAGAUCUUGUCCCCUUGAAUUGAUUUUUUUUUUUCUUUUUCAAGAGAUGUUUCAUGAAAGCAUCUGUUGAAUAAAACAAAACCUGCUUUAGUUGAGGCUGUAUCCCAUCUUGUUUGCUCCCUGUCAUAGGGCUCAGUGCGUUUUUCUUUGGGUUACUGUUACUGAUGUCAAAUGGUUUUGGUUUGAAGGUGUGCCCUUCCCUCUGUACUGAUAGGAAAAGCAGGGUCACUUACCUAAUUAGUCCCAAGCUGAAAAAUCAUAAGCUUAGUAGGGGAAAUACAUCUGUUUCCUGCAGUAGCAGGACAGACAGACAUGAAUUGGCAAGUUUUCUUGAGAUGUUGCUCUGUUGAACAAUGAGGUUGUUUCUAGUAGCUAAUAAGAGUCUAUCCUUGGCCCACGAUUCCAGCAUCUAAAAAGAAAUUCUGCUGUAACUCAAGGAGAAUAAAGUUAGGAACAGCUUUGUUGGGUUAUUUUUUUUUUCAGUGGAAGUGUUUCACUUAGUUUAACAGACACCUUAAUUCACCUGAGUUGGGCCAGACCUGUGUCACUAUGGAAACAUCUCAGUACUUCAAAAAUAUUUUUCAAGGAGAAGAGAUCAGUUCACAUAUAGAAUUGUUCUUUUAAGAUGAGAGUAGGUGUGUUCUAUUUCCCAGCAUGUGCAAAUUGAUAGGGAAGGCAAAAUUGAAGCAAGUUUUCAUUUUCUGCACAGGUGGAAAUUGUGGUUUGCUCUCAUUCCUUAAGAGGAAAAAAGCUCUUCAGGAAGGGGUCUUCAUAUUCACAGACCCUCUUGCUUAUUGAUUGUUGUUGGGCACUGGAAGAUUACUGCAAAAUCAUUGUAGAGAUAUUUUCUGAUUCUACCUCUAAGCAGUUGAUUGUUGUAUUUGUAGCCUCAAGUAUAAUUAUUAGAUAGUCAGUACAAAGAGUAUUAUAAAGAAAUGCUCACUGCAAAGACUUUGAAAGACCAACAGAACUUUGCUUGAAUGCUGCCUUCACUUACAAAGUAGGUCUGUAUCCUCUGGCAGUUACCACCUCCUAAAGAAAGAGGGACAAAAACCCAGAACAAGUAGCUCAUUAAUAACUCAUUAAUGGACAGUAUCUUUCACUGUAACUACUCAUAAAGGGCAACAUUCUGGGUAACUGAAUUCAGCUUCUACUUAGGCAACCAAGAAAAACCCCACCAAACAGAAAAGCCUUACCCAAUUAUGUUUAAAGGGACAUAGAGCAGUUUUUAAUCUGUUAAUUGUAUUCUGUUUAGAUUAAAUUUUAUUAUUUUUCUUCAGUAACAAUACUAUGAAAAAAAAAUCUGUGUUGAUACUUGAUUUAAGAUUUAAUUUGUUGAUUUUGCCUCCUGUCUGUGACAGAUUUGUCCAAUGUCCCAGUAGUUGCAUUUCUUCAGUAACGAGGUGACACACAUUUUAAAGAUCUGUUACCACUUUUCAGUAAUGUCUGCUCAUUUAAUGCUGUUCUUUUUCACCUGCUAAACUUCUUGAAAGAAAAGACAGUGCCUUGGAUAAGAUGCUGGUAGUAUGUCUCCACAAAAAUAUAACUUGAUCCAAGGAUCACCUUUAAGUAUGACAAGAAUUCAAGUAAUUUGCCAAGCUUUCUCCCUGCCUAGAGCAACAGUCCCUUUGCAUUAUGAUUAAACAGUACAAGGCAGUGUGGAUUUACUGGGAAGGUUGAAGUGUAGAACUGAUAAAGGAUGCAUCAUCUGAAAAGUGUAAUACUAGUCUAACAAAAAUAGGCCAUGAUAGACUAAAGCGAAAAAAGAAUUUGGUACCACAUUAGGGAAAAUCAGAUCACUACUUAUGCAUCUUCCCUUUUAUGUCUACGCAACAGCAAUUU